UACGUAGGGUGCAAGCGUUGUCCGGAAUUAUUGGGCGUAAAGAGCUCGUAGGCGGUUUGUCGCGUCUGCUGUGAAAACCCGAGGCUCAACCUCGGGCCUGCAGUGGGUACGGGCAGACUAGAGUGCGGUAGGGGAGAUUGGAAUUCCUGGUGUAGCGGUGGAAUGCGCAGAUAUCAGGAGGAACACCGGUGGCGAAGGCGGGUCUCUGGGCCGAUGCUGACGCUGAGGAGCGAAAGCAUGGGUAGCGAACAGG
rnacentral:rRNA from 1 species